ACCUGAGAUGGGAGCAGACUCCAACAGAAGCCAGAUACUCUGAGAGAAAGAAAGAGAAAAUGCAGCAUGAGAUGAGAACUUAUGAGAUGCAGCUUCCUCAUCCCCUCAGCUUUGCCAAGAUAUUUGAGGGCGUCUGCCACCAAGCCUGUCACAGUCCUAAAAUCAGGGAAAUAAAAUUCCUGAGUGGACUUUCAAAGAUGCCAUGCCAUCAAAAAAGAAGAGCAGGGAGAGACUAAUGGGAUGAAAAGAAAAUCAUCCAACAGGGAAAGAAAGAACAACAGCCCCAUGGAACAGAGACACAAACCAGUAUGGAACCCAACCCCUGAUGGCAAUGGCAGCACCAUUAGCACCUCUGAUGCGGGGGACAGUGGGAAGUCCCACACUGGGCUCACCAGCAGGUGGGAACUGGAUUCAGGAGCAGAAUAGAGGAUGGAAGAGACAGAGUGCUCCUGGGACUGCAGUCAGUGGAGAAGAGUCUUGAUGCUGCUGCGAGGACACACAGCUUCCCUUGACCAAGAUUUUCCAGGAGUCUUUGGAGUUUCAGAGAUGCUGAACACAGAACAAGUCCUGAGGAGCAGGUUUGAGAGUGUAGAAGAGUUAUCAACCUGCUGCCUUUAAGAGCAGAUGAGUUGACUUAAGCGCAUCACAGCGCUGCUGCCAUUCAAGAUGAUGAUGCAUUUAAAAUGCAGAUUUUGGAACUUCUGGAACACCUCAUUCAGCCUCACAAUGAGCACGUCCCAUGUCUCCUGCAUAUGAACGUUUGUUGUUGUUCAGACUAGCAAGGGACAUGUAUUGCUGCAUGGAUUUUUUUUUUCUUUCCUUCUUGAAACCAAAUAACAUUUUAUAUUUUUACCAAAAUACCUGUGGAGCUGACAGAGCAUGAUGCAUUCAUUUUCCUUGAUUUUGUAGUGAGGGAAAAGGCUACCAUGAAUAAUUCAAAAAUAAUGCUGAGACUGUUAAGAUUUAGUACUGGAGAGGUCAUCACAGUUGGGAGAAUGAGCUAGGAGACUAUUACUAUUCCACGAUCUUUGAAUCUCAAGGUGACAUCAUUAUUAUUUCUCUAUAUCUAUAAUGUGGUGCUGCAACCAACUUAUUGCAGUGUUUCUCAUGUAGGGUAGAAAGAUCAAUUACAUACAGACCUCAAAAUGUGAACUAUAAGCAUAGUGUCCAAUAAAACUGUCAUUAACAGUCACCACAAUUUUAACUGUAUGCUUCCAGGUCAAGCUGCUUUAAAAAUGAUAACUGACAUUGAAAGGUUGAAUAAAGAGCACCCUGUUUCCAGCGGGUAUGAUUCUACACCCAAAUAAGUUCUCAUUAACAAACCCCUUAAUUCAGUUCACAAAAGAAUUCAGGGUUUGUCUUCUUGUUUCUGUCACUCGCAG